GGGUUGUGAGGUUAAGCGACUAAGCGUACACGGUGGAUGCCCUGGCAGUCAGAGGCGAUGAAGGGCGUGCUAAUCUGCGAUAAGCGCCGGUAAGGUGAUAUGAACCGUUAUAACCGGCGAUACCCGAAUGGGGAAACCCAGUGUGAUUCGUCACACUAUCAUUAACUGAAUCCAUAGGUUAAUGAGGCGAACCGGGGGAACUGAAACAUCUAAGUACCCCGAGGAAAAGAAAUCAACCGAGAUUCCCCCAGUAGCGGCGAGCGAACGGGGAGGAGCCCAGAGCCUGAAUCAGCAUGUGUGUUAGUGGAAGCGUCUGGAAAGGCGCGCGAUACAGGGUGACAGCCCCGUACACAAAAGCGCAUGUGCUGUGAGCUCGAUGAGUAGGGCGGGACACGUGGUAUCCUGUCUGAAUAUGGGGGGACCAUCCUCCAAGGCUAAAUACUCCUGACUGACCGAUAGUGAACCAGUACCGUGAGGGAAAGGCGAAAAGAACCCCGGCGAGGGGAGUGAAAAAGAACCUGAAACCGUGUACGUACAAGCAGUGGGAGCACCCUUUGGGGUGUGACUGCGUACCUUUUGUAUAAUGGGUCAGCGACUUAUAUUCUGUAGCAAGGUUAACCGUAUAGGGGAGCCGGAGGGAAACCGAGUCUUAACCGGGCGUUAAGUUGCAGGGUAUAGACCCGAAACCCGGUGAUCUAGCCAUGGGCAGGUUGAAGGUUGGGUAACACUAACUGGAGGACCGAACCGACUAAUGUUGAAAAAUUAGCGGAUGACCUGUGGCUGGGGGUGAAAGGCCAAUCAAACCGGGAGAUAGCUGGUUCUCCCCGAAAGCUAUUUAGGUAGCGCCUCGUGAAUUCAUCUCCGGGGGUAGAGCACUGUUUCGGCUAGGGGGCCAUCCCGGCUUACCAACCCGAUGCAAACUGCGAAUACCGGAGAAUGUUAUCACGGGAGACACACGGCGGGUGCUAACGUCCGUCGUGAAGAGGGAAACAACCCAGACCGCCAGCUAAGGUCCCAAAGUCAUGGUUAAGUGGGAAACGAUGUGGGAAGGCCCAGACAGCCAGGAUGUUGGCUUAGAAGCAGCCAUCAUUUAAAGAAAGCGUAAUAGCUCACUGGUCGAGUCGGCCUGCGCGGAAGAUGUAACGGGGCUAAACCAUGCACCGAAGCUGCGGCAGCGA
rnacentral:rRNA from 1 species